AAUCCAUGAUGAGGGCACAUUCUUAAUAAGUCAUAAUAUCUCUCCCAUGCAUCAUAUAAUGUCUCUAAAUUGAUUUUGGAAAAGGAAGAAAUGUCAUUCCUCAACUU
rfam:Gossypium arboreum cultivar AKA8401 contig_51674_1, whole genome shotgun sequence.